rnacentral:tRNA from 1 species
AAAUAAGAAGUAAAACCUUACAUAUUAAUUUCGACUUAAUAAUAGAUUAUUUAAUCCUUAUUUU